UACGAAGGGGGCUAGCGUUGUUCGGAUUUACUGGGCGUAAAGCGCACGUAGGCGGGUCGUUAAGUCAGGGGUGAAAUCCUCCGGCCCAACCGGAGAAGUGCCUUUGAUACUGGCGGCCUCGAGGGAGGUAGGGGCCUGCGGAACUUCCGGUGGAGCGGUGAAAUGCGUAGAUAUCGGAAGGAACGCCGGUGGCGAAAGCGGCGGGCUGGACCUCCUCUGACGCUGAGGCGCGAAAGCCAGGGGAGCAAACGGG
rnacentral:rRNA from 1 species